rnacentral:rRNA from 1 species
UAGGUCGGAGGUGUAAGCACCGUGAGGUGUUAAGCUGACCGAUACUAAUAUGUCGAGGGCUUGACCU